rnacentral:misc_RNA from 1 species
GAUGAAGAACGUAGCGAAAUGCGAUAAGUAAUGUGAAUUGCAGAAUUCAGUGAAUCAUCGAAUCUUUGAACGCACAUUGCGCCCGCUAGUAUUCUGGCGGGCAUGCCUUUUCGAGCGUCAUUUCAACCAUCAAGCCCCAGGCUUGUGUUGGGGGCCUGCGGCUGCCGCAGCCCCUGAAAAGCAGUGGCGGGCUCGCUGUCAUUCCGAGCGCAGUAGUUACAUCUCGCUCCGGGCGUGGCGGUGGGCACCUGCCGUGAAACACUCCUUCUAAGGUUGACCUCGGAUCAGGUAGGAAUACCCGCUGAACUUAAGCAUAUCAAUAAGCGGAGGA